rnacentral:rRNA from 1 species
AUUGAUUGGCGGUCACGUCGAGCUUCCAUAGCGUAGUAGUAAAACCCUCGUUACUGGUAAUCGUCGCGGCCACGCCGUUAAACCCCAACUUCUGAAUGUUGACCUCGGAUCAGGUAGGAAUACCCGCUGAACUUAA